UGAAGAUGACGAGUUACAGCACUGGGCACUGAUAUAAAUAAAAUAUUUAUUUUCAUGAGUGACAACGCUUUAAGUGGGCCUAGAAAACCCACGCUACCGAUUCA
rnacentral:snoRNA from 1 species